CGGUUGAUCCUGCCGGAGGUCACUGCUAUCAGUGUUCGACUAAGCCAUGCAAGUCAAAUGUUCUUCGUGAACAUGGCGGACUGCCCAGUAACACGUGGAUAACCUGCCCUUAGGAUUGGCAUAACACCGGGAAACUGGUGAUAAUACCGAAUAGACCAUUUAUGCUGGAAUGCUUUUUGGUUCAAAGGCUUCGGCUGCCUAAGGAUGGAUCUGCGGCCUAUCAGGUAGUAGUGGGUGUAAUGUACCUACUAGCCUACGACGGGUACGGGUUGUGAGAGCAAGAGCCCGGAGAUGGAUUCUGAGACAUGAAUCCAGGCCCUACGGGGCGCAGCAGGCGCGAAAACUUUACAAUGCGGGAAACCGCGAUAAGGGGACACUGAGUGCCAGCAUAUUAUGUUGGCUGUCCACAUGUAUAAAAAUCAUGUGUUAGCAAGGGCCGGGCAAGACCGGUGCCAGCCGCCGCGGUAACACCGGCGGCCCGAGUGGUGAUCACUUUUAUUGGGUCUAAAGGGUCCGUAGCCGGUUUGAUCAGUCUUCUGGGAAAUCUGACAGCUCAACUGUUAGGCUUUCAGGGGAUACUGUUAGACUUGGGACCGGGAGAGGUAAGAGGUACUACAGGGGUAGGAGUGAAAUCUUGUAAUCCCUGUGGGACCACCAGUGGCGAAGGCGUCUUACCAGAACGGGUCCGACGGUGAGGGACGAAAGCUGGGGGGCACGAACCGGAUUAGAUACCCGGGUAGUCCCAGCCGUAAACGAUGUUCGCUAGGUGUC
rnacentral:rRNA from 1 species